CAAUAGCGUAUAUUAAAGUUGUUGCGGUUAAAAAGCUCGUAGUUGGAUUUCUGCUGAGAACGACCGGUCCGCCCUUUGGGUGUGUAUCUGGCUCUUUCUUGGCAUCUUCUUGGUGAACGUUGCUGCACUUGACUGUGUGGAGCGCUACCCAGGACUUUUACUUUGAGGAAAUUAGAGUGUUUCAAGCAGGCAUACGCCUUGAAUACAUUAGCAUGGAAUAAUAAGAUAGGACCUCGGUUCUAUUUUGUUGGUUUCUAGAGCUGAGGUAAUGAUUAAUAGGGAUAGUUGGGGGCAUUCGUAUUUAACUGUCAGAGGUGAAAUUCUUGGAUGUGUUAAAGACGGACUACUGCGAAAGCAUUUGCCAAGGAUGUUUUCAUUGA
rnacentral:rRNA from 1 species